rnacentral:lncRNA from 1 species
CGGGAUAUUACAAAUUGAGUGUUCUCAGUUUCUUCAUCUUCUUUCUCCCUAGGCACACAACCCUCUCUCACCUCUUACUUUUUGAUUUUUUUUUAAUGAACUUUAAUUUAGAUAGGGGGAGAGAGAAAUAAUAAAGUAUUAGAGAUUAGCCAAAAUAAAGAACAUUGCCAGAGGAAACACCUUUUAAGUGGUUUGCUAUAAUAGUUUUUUAGCCACCAUUUUAGCUAGAAUUUGGCUAAAAUUGAAAGACUUUCCAAGAGAUUUCUUACCCUAUUGCUUAUAUAAUUUGAGAACCAAACAACAAACUCAGUAAAGAAAUAACAUAAUAACAAAUACAUAACACUUCAAAAAUUCGUGAUGAAAGAAAAACAAAACCCACCCUUUCAUAAAAUAAACGACCAAAGAAACAAAUAUGAGACUUUUUUUUUAAUUUUUAGAAGAAGGAUUUCGUUCAUAUAACCGAAGUAGCAUACAUAGAACGACAUGAAACAGUGGCCUCAUUAAAACCUUUAUAAGGGACAAACCCUAGGGUAGGAAAGAGUACCACACAUGUCAUAGACUAAUAAGAAAGUCUGAAUCAGUCACGUAGGACCAGAGCUAAAACAAGAUAAAAUAAAACAACAAACUGACACAUAAACCUCCGACGAGAACACUACUACACAACCCGACUGUCAAAAGAAUCCUACUAUGAGAUCAUAGUGCUUUGCACAGCCACAAAAUAGUGAGAGCAUUUGCCAGGAAGAUCAAAGAAACAACCACAAACACACCAUCUUUAGCCACCUUGAAUAGCGAAUGGCGAUGAAAUAAGAGAAAGUUGCAAAAAGCACCACAAAGAAUAGACAAAUCCUGCAAACAGGUCAGGAAAAGAAAUAAA